UACGGGGGGAGCAAGCGUUGUUCGGAUUCAUUGGGCGUAAAGGGCACGUAGGCGGCUUGGCAAGUCCGUCAUGAAUGUACCGGUUCAACCGGGGCACUGUGUCGGAAACUGCCUGGCUUGAGGUCGAGGGAGGAGAGUGGAAUUCCUGGUGUAGCGGUGAAAUGCGUAGAUAUCAGGAGGAACACCCGUGGCGAAGGCGGCUCUCUAUCUCGAUUCUGACGCUGAGGCGCGAAGCUAGGGGAGCAAACGGG
rnacentral:rRNA from 1 species